rnacentral:lncRNA from 1 species
AGCAUAGCAACAGCAGCGUAGCUGAACAUCUUACGGAUGGCCCAGGGCUCCAAAGGCUCGUUUCCUAAGUGAGAGAGAGCCUGGCUGAAGCUGUAUUACCAUUCAUUCUCCAGCCUCCGAAGUCUCAAAGCAUCACUUCCACCAUACUCUAACUGUCAAGACAAACACAAAGGCCCAGAAACUGCCAGACUGUCUUCUGAAGUGGCUAUAAUAUUUACACUCCCAUCAGCAGUGUAGAAGGGGUCUCACUAUGUUGUCUGGAGUGCUGUGGUGGAGUGGAGUGGCUAUUCACAGGAUUCUUGGAAUGGACUGUAAAAGUCUGGAAUCAAGACUUUGUGUUUCCUCUCUAACAUGUAAAGAGCUUAGAAGUUGUCGCUAUUGCCCUUACAACAAAAUGAAGCUGGACAAACUGAAAAUCAAUGACUUUUCUUGGACUCACUAUACAGCUGAGUUUGCAGAGUAAACCACUACCCUGAAAUCUGGAAAGGCAGGUGCACCCACAGAUCCUCAGCUGAGAUCCAAUUACCUGAAAUAGAAGCUGCCAUUAGGAACACUUAAAAGAGCCUGUUCUGCUGGGACACAGAAUCACUUGCUCCAUCUCAUACAUUGAUGAUGAUUAAUUUGUAUGUGUACCUUCCAAAAAAGAUGGUUGUGUUUGAAUGGAGGCCUUCUGGACAGGAAAAUUGCAAAGUACAAUUAACAUUUGAGUCUGUCUGAGUCAUGAAGAAAUGGAGAUUACUGAAAAUAAUUCAUUUUGGUAUCUUCUUACAUCCUGAGAGACUAAUCUUUCCAAGUUCAUCUGAGGCUCCUCUUCUCCAUGACAACCUCAUCCAGGGAUUUCUUCCUGUCCUGGUGUUUUAUGACAUAAUCACAUCCUUCCUGAGAUAAUGAGCACACAAUUGCCUGGAUACCUGAAGGAAUGGAGACAGCGGCAGAAAACACUGCAGAGAGGUGGAAACAUCCGUUAAUAUUUUAAAAUCCCAUUACUGCUACCAACAAUAAUAAUGGAUGCAUAGAAAUAGAUCUGGAUUAGCUGAGCUUGAAACAGUCCAUCUCACACACACACAAAAGAAUUUCAGAUACAGUGAACCCACAUGUUGAAGCUUUCUAGUAUAAUAAAAAUUUCAACUGUUCUGUUGAAUCAUCUGCCUGAUUGGAGGCUACAGAAAAGAUGUCAUCUUAGGAGUGCUUGCUCUGAGUGAGGCUCAUCUUCAAAUCUGAAUGACCACAAGGAGAUUUGAUUAUACAUGUGAACACCUCAGAAGGCACAGCCCACCCAGAAGGCAGACAGGUCAGGCUGCUUUUUCUUCAUUGCUUGGAUUCAAUCCUCCGGGCGGCUCAGGCUCAAACAUAACUUAAGCAUGAUUAAACUUUAGAAGAAGCUGCCAGGAAGACUGUGAAAUCUUCAUGCCCAAGGAUCCCUAAAAUUAGGAGCAACAACCACUUGGCUCAGACGGUUUAUGGAGGCAAAGGUUUGGAUGGGAUUAGAGAUUUCUAAAUGUGAGUUCGUGUCCUCUGCCAGACCACCUUACUUCCACCAUUCCUCAGCAAAUCAAGAAAAACAGGAGAAAAGACAUGCCUUUCCAUAAGUUAAAUCUAUUCUGUUUUAAUUCUAUAUUAUAUCUGCUGUACAACUUCUUUUGUUUGUAACACCAUAUUGUUGCUAGUAACUGGAAAUUAAUUUUCACAUGCCUCAGCUUAGAAAAAUAAAAAGCAGCCCUGCAUCAAUCCCAA